AUUCACACCCUUUGAGAAACAAGUCAGAGGAUGUGAGAACAAAACAAAGCCAAGAGAGAACUGACUCAUUUCAGAGAUGUCUCCAUUGAUUCCCACCAUCACAUCUACCCACCUGCCUACAUCUGGGCCUACAGACCCACUGUCCCUCAUGCUGCCUGAGAUGGACCCCGAGC